GACGAACGCUGGCGGCGUGCCUAAUACAUGCAAGUCGAACGAGAGCAACCGGUGCUUGCACUGGUCAAUCUAGUGGCGAACGGGUGAGUAACACGUGGGUAACCUGCCCAUCAGAGGGGGAUAACAUCCGGAAACGGAUGCUAAAACCGCAUAGGUCUUCGAACCGCAUGGUUUGAAGAGGAAAAGAGGCGCAAGCUUCUGCUGAUGGAUGGACCCGCGGUGCAUUAGCUAGUUGGUGAGGUAACAGCUCACCAAGGCCGUGAUGCAUAGCCGACCUGAGAGGGUGAUCGGCCACAUUGGGACUGAGACACGGCCCAAACUCCUACGGGAGGCAGCAGUAGGGAAUCUUCCGCAAUGGACGCAAGUCUGACGGAGCAACGCCGCGUGAGUGAAGAAGGUUUUCGGAUCGUAAAACUCUGUUGUUAGAGAAGAACAAGUGCUAGAGUAACUGUUAGCGCCUUGACGGUAUCUAACCAGAAAGCCACGGCUAACUACGUG
rnacentral:rRNA from 1 species